UACAGAGGUCUCAAGCGUUGUUCGGAUUCAUUGGGCGUAAAGGGUGCGUAGGCGGCGCGGUAAGUCGGAUGUGAAAUCUCGGAGCUUAACUCCGAAACUGCAUUCGAUACUGCCGUGCUUGAGGACUGGAGAGGAGACUGGAAUUUACGGUGUAGCGGUGAAAUGCGUAGAUAUCAUAAGGAAGACCAGUGGCGAAGGCGGGUCUCUGGACAGUUCCUGACGCUGAGGCACGAAGGCCAGGGGAGCAAACGGG
rnacentral:rRNA from 1 species